rnacentral:lncRNA from 1 species
UCAAGAACACUAGGAACAUAUUUAUAUAUAUAACAAGAUCAGGCAAUCAUUCACACUAUGAGUGAUGAGUAAUUCCAUUCAGAUUUUGCAGUGCGAGUAUACAAUCUUAGGUUUAUGAGGCGAGUCUACAGGCCUCAGAUUCUUCCAGCCUCUAAUCUUGAUGCACAACCAUUAAAUGCACUUGUUCUAAAAAAAGGAACCCACCCACAAAUGGCCACAACCUCCCCUCAUGAUAGAGCCAAAGAACACUCACAAACAAGAGGAGAAGUCAUAAUUACUGCAUUUGGAUCCUCAGCAGCCAACACUGGAGCAGGCUGAUUGACUGGUUUAGUACUCUUCCUAGAUCUGACCUGCUCCAUCAUAUAAUGAGAAGAAAAAAUCAAUAACAUGGCAUAAUUAGAAAUCAAUGUCACAAUAUGCAUGUCGGCACCGAAAUUGGUGCAUGGGAUCCGCCCCCCCUCCCCCACAAACCGGGAAAUCAAGGAUAGAUCUUUGUGAGUGAUCCAUGCGGCCAUGUAAGAGAUACCCAACCCAUUUUCUGAGCUUCACCGUGAUAUUCAAGCCAUGGAUGACCGAUAAAUCUGAAAGAGGCCGAGUUAGUGGCUGUAGAUUCAUGCUCUCUCUUGCCAGAAGCAGAGAUAGAAGUUGACUUCUUUAUGGGAGAGCGUGGGGACUGUGACGUCAGCAACGCCUGUGGCUCAUUUACUCGCCAGAUUUAUUCUUUGCUUGGAAGCAGCAGGUUCAUCAAAUGGGCCUCUGUAGUCUGCAAUUUUACCCUAAAAAUAGAACUGGGCAGAGAAGAAAAAAAAUAAUAUUACCAUGAAUAUCCCCGUCGAGAAACAAGACAGAAGUUUGACCAGAAAUGCGGACGAACUCCUCCACAGUUUUAUUAUCUUUUUGCCAAAAUGGCAGCAUAAAAAGUGAGGAAGUCAUCACUGUGAAGAAGGUUUCUGGGACGAAGAAGCACCGAGGCUUUUACCUUAAAAGGCCAUGGGACGAGGACAUAUUGGAUGGAAACAUAAACAAAAGGAUAACAAGUAAUAGCAAUGAACGGAGUAUAUAUAUAUACAUCAAAGGGAUGUAGAUCAUAAUCACCAAGAAAAGCUAUCAAAACCAAGAGAUUCAUCAACGAAACAGAAAGAUUAUUUAGGCAUAUAAAAUUCUACAAUUACAUCAUUAGUCAUACCGUGGAAAAAUGCCAGCUCUUGCAGAGGUCUUCAGGGAGCCAGGAAAGGGUCGUUGAAUUAGUCCUAAAGGUACAAAGACAAUUCAGCAAGAAGCAAAUCAACAGAAGCUCAGAGAAAGAUACAGCGCCUGUAUUACUAAAAGUGCCCGGCAUAAUCAAGAAAACAGAUUUUCAGGAAAAUACCAUCAAAUAAAGAAAGAGGUAGAUGUUCAUGUCUGUUUUCUACUGUUUGUAAUGUCACAUGGUAUCAGCUGCUAAAACAACAUUGCGGAUAAAGAAGUCAACAACAAAAGCCAAAUAAUGAACAUGCCUCCCCCUCAUACACUUGACAUCUAAUGACGUCCUGGUGACCAUAACUGCUCAUGGCUAGUGGUUCUAUCAGAGUAUGCCAACCUCGGCCAUAAACUAGUCCAUAAUGAAAGGGAGGCACAAGAUCUCUGCUAGCAUGAGGACUCCAGAUGGGAGUAACAACUUACCCCCCCAUGCACGUAAUGAGCACAUGUUAUCCAACAUCUUAGCCUGAUAUUUUGCCGUCUAGGCCUGGGUCGCUCUGACCUAUUCCCAGAUCCCUAUAAAUGUAACUAAAUCAGGAAAGAUGAUAAUUCGUCAGUCUGAUUGGGAAUCGGAUAAUAUUACAUCCAUAGAAGAAUAUCAGAUGUCUCUCCCAAAUGACUCAUAGAAUAUAUAUAUAUAAAAAUGCUCACCUCUAUGACAACUCAUAUCAGGUCAUAUUCAUCAUUGAAUGAAUCACCUAAUAUAUGUUAAGGAUAUGUUGGCUCACACAAGUGGACCCCAAUUCCCUCAGAAAGUAGAUCUUUAUUGUAUUAGGACGACUAAAUAAAUCCUGUGAUAUUUUUCAAUACUUCCUACCAAAUAUAAGUUCCAUUAUUCCAACUCAGCUGUGUCAGAGGAGAAUUGGCUGAUUUCUCAGACCAACCUACACAGCAGAGCCUGGCAGACAUUAGUUCUACAAUCAACUUCUUCCAUUAAAUUAAUCUCCUGCUCAUAUCUUCGUGUUCAUGAUAAAUCACAAAUACUUGACCUGAUGUCACAUAUUGCCACGAUGAACAAAAUCCUUCAUGGCUUGCAUACAAGUGGUAACUAAACUGUCGAGGUGGCCAUAGAGCAUGGGAGGAGAGGAUAUCCACCAAGGGUGGUUUUGUUGUGAACUCAUUUCUAAUUGGGCUUUAUCUUCUAUCAAGGGGCUCUCAUGCAUGUUUGGAAACUGCCCAUGAAGACCUCUGGUUUAAAGGUAAAUUACUUUUUCCUGAAGAUAUCAUACCCUUGAGUCCAAAAGUUAUACACGGGUCCAUAGAACAUGGAAAGCCCUCAUGUUGAUGAUGGCUCCGCGUUAGAUGAAAACGGUCUCCGUGGAGUUUUAUUCCUAUCCAAUUGAAGGGGAUAAUACGAGCAAUAAAUUCCCAUCAGUGCUGUUGAAACUCAUGUUUAGGAUAAUGGGAACUUGCCAUCACACGGAGAUUUGAAGAAUGUGACCCAGAAAUCAAUAC